CCCUAUGAUACGCGGAGGGACAUUACAGAGCUGCAAAACUCCCUAAACCAUCGUGAACGCUACCUAAACCGUUGCUUCGGCGGGCGGCGCCCUCGCGCGCCCCCCCUGGGGCCCGCACCGCGGGCGCCCGCCGGAGGUACACCAAACUCUUGAUAUGUUAUGGCCACUCUGAGUCUCCUGUACUGAAUAAGUCAAAACUUUCAACAACGGAUCUCUUGGUUCUGGCAUCGAUGAAGAACGCAGCGAAAUGCGAUAAGUAAUGUGAAUUGCAGAAUUCAGUGAAUCAUCGAAUCUUUGAACGCACAUUGCGCCCGCCAGCAUCCUGGCGGGCAUGCCUGUUCGAGCGUCAUUUCAACCCAUCAAGCCCACGGCUUGUGUUGGGGACCUGCGGCUGCCCGCAGGCCCUGAAAACCAGUGGCGGGCUCGCUAGUCACACCGGGCGUAGUAGCAUACGACCUCGCUCAGGGCGUGCUGCGGGUUCCAGCCGUAAAACGACCUUCACAACCCAAGGUUGACCUCGGAUCAGGUAGGAGGACCCGCUGAACUUAAGCAUAUCAAUAAGCGGAGGAA
rnacentral:rRNA from 1 species